AGAGUUUGAUCAUGGCUCAGAGUGAUCGCUGGCGGCNNGCUUAACACAUGCAAGUCGAGCGAAUUUCUGCAGUGUAUCGCAGGAGUUAGCGGCAGACGGGUGAGUAAUACUUGGGCAAUCUGCCCUUGAGUGGGAAACAACCGGCCGAAAGGCUGGCUAAUGUCCCAUAAGACCACAGGGAUGCAUAUUCCAGGGGUCAAAGCUCCGCAAGGGGGCUUGAGGAGGAGCCCGAGUCCUAUCAUGGUAGUUGGUGAGGUAACGGCUCACCAAGCCUUUGACGGGUAGCGGCCUGAAAGGGUGAUCGCCACCUGGCACUGAGACACGGGCCAGCUCUACGGGAGGCAGCAGUGGGGAAUUUUGGACAAUGGGGGCAACCCUGAUCCAGCGCGCCGCGUGAAGGACGAAGAUCUUCGGAUUGUAAACUUCUUUUGGAGGGGAUGAACGCCUGGUGAAUAGCCAGGGGUGACAGUACUCUCAGAAUAAGCCACGGCUAACUACGUGCCAGCAGCCGCGGUAAUACGUAGGUGGCAAGCGAUACUCGGAAUCACUAGGCGUAAAGCGCAGGUAGGCGGUUUGGUAAGUCUUUUGUGAAAGCUCCCGGCUCAACUGGGAGAGGUCAAGGGAAACUCCGGACUAGAGUGUGGUAGGGGAUACUGGAAUUCCUGGUGUAGCGGUGAAAUGCGUAGAUAUCAGGAGGAAUACCUAUGGCGAAAGCAGGUAUCUGGGCCAUCACUGACGCUGAGCUGCGAAAGCUAGGGGAGCAAACAGGAUUAGAUACCCUAGUAGUCC
rnacentral:rRNA from 1 species